rnacentral:rRNA from 1 species
GAUGAACGCUGGCGGCGUGCCUAAUACAUGCAAGUCGAGCGAAGAGACGAGGAGCUUGUUCCUCUUACGUUAGCGGCGGACGGGUGAGUAACACGUGGAUAACCUACCUAUAAGACUGGGAUAACUUCGGGAAACCGGAGCUAAUACCGGAUAAUAUCUUUAACCGCAUGGUUUAAUAUUGAAAGAUGGUUUUGCUGUCACUUAUAAAUAGAUCCGCUCCGCAUUAGCUAGUUGUUAAGGUAACGGCUUACCAAGGCAACGAUGCGUAGCCGACCUGAGAGGGUGAUCGGCCACACUGGAACUGAGACACGGUCCAGACUCCUCCGGGAGGCAGCAGUAGGGAAUCUUCCGCAAUGGGCGAAAGCCUGACGGAGCAACGCGGCGUGAGUGAUGAAGUUCUUCGGAUCGUAAAACUCUGUUAUUAGGGAAGAACAAAUGUGUAAGUAAAUACGCACGUAUUGACGGUACCUACUCAGAAAGCCACGGCUAACUACGUG